AAUAUAUGAAAAGGCGGAGGGGCCAAAAGCGUAAUUUGCCCAUCCGCAUAAAAAACACACGGAUCCUGGAUCCGGGUCGGGUCGACGUGCGGAUCCCCCCUCCUUCAAACGGUGUCGUUUUCAGUAGGCUUUAUAAGCCAAAAUUUAGUUAAAAAACUUCAUUUUCAUUCUGUUUUAAAAAAAAAAACCUUCAAAACUGCUCUCCUCCCCC
rnacentral:lncRNA from 1 species